AUGAUGGAGAGUUUGAUCCUGGCUCAGAACGAACGCUGGCGGCGCGUCUUAAGCAUGCAAGUCGAGCGGCGGGGGGGAGCGAUCUUCCCCGGAGCGGCGGACUGGUGAGUAACGCGUAGGCGACCUGCCCGUUGGUCGGGGACAGCCGCUAGAAAUAGCGGGUAAUACCGGAUAAGGUCGCGCGGAUAGAGCCGCGCGAAGAAAGGAGCCAAGGCUCCGCCGACGGAUGGGCCUGCGUCCGAUUAGCUAGUUGGCGGGGUAAGGGCCCACCAAGGCGAUGACAGGUAGCCGGCCUGAGAGGGUGGACGGCCACAUUGGGACUGAGAUACGGCCCAAACUCCUACGGGAGGCAGCAGCUAAGAAUAUUCCGCAAUGGACGAAAGUCUGACGGAGCGACGCCGCGUGGACGAGGAAUGCCGAAAGGUUGUAAAGUUCUUUUCC
rnacentral:rRNA from 1 species